AUUGAACGCUGGCGGCAGGCCUAACACAUGCAAGUCGAACGAGUGGCGGACGGGUGAGUAAUGUCUGGGAAACUGCCAGAUGGAGGGGGAUAACUACUGGAAACGGUAGCUAAUACCGCAUACCAUCGGAUGUGCCCAGAUGGGAUUAGCUUGUAGGGGAGGUAACGGCUCACGAAGGCUACGAUCCCUCGCUGGUCUGAGAGGAUGACCAGCCACACGGGAACUGAGACACGGGCCAGACUCCGACGGGAGGCAGCAGUGGGGAAUAUUGCACAAUGUGCGCAAGCCUGAUGCAGCCAUGCCGCGGGUAGGAAGAAGGCUUUCGGGUUGUAAAGUACUUUCAGCGGGGAGGCGUUACCCGCAGAAUAAGCACCGGCUAACUCCGUGCCAGCAGCCGCGGUAAUUC
rnacentral:rRNA from 1 species